GUGAUUUUCCUGCCUCAGCCUCCCAAGUAGCUGGGAUUACAGGGCUGUCAAGUAGACAUUAUUCACCGUACGGCUGCGAAUAAGGAAGCGGUGCUAUGUCGGGGUGAAGUGACUUACCCAAGGCUCGCAGGCCUGGUUCCUAGACCACCCAACUCCCAUGUUCUAACCAGAGGCUUCCAGUAUUACAGGGGGCUCAGAGCUGAUUUGCAGCCCAUCUCCAUGUGCCUCAUGGCUACUGAUCUCAUCCCUGCAUUCUUCUCCUCCCGCUUCCACCAGCUUUAUUAAGGUAAGAGGCAGGAGCAGCGCAUCAGAAAUCAACAGACUGACCCAGCUGCAGGGCCUGAGCGGAGCUGAGCACAGCACCAGGCCCGGGAACUUACCGCAGGGCGAUGCUGACGUUGGUCGAGCUGCCGUUUUCCAGCUUUACAACGGGAGGAACGGUAAGGCUGACGG